rnacentral:snoRNA from 1 species
CUAGAGCAAAUGGAAUCCUAGAAGUCAAACCACCUCUGCUAUGGACCUCUGAAAUGUAAAGGGAGAUGGAACAGGCCUUGUGUGCAAAGUAAAUGCAAGACCUACUUAUCUGCCACCAACA